AUUGAACGCUGGCGGCAGGCCUAACACAUGCAAGUCGAACGAGUGGCGGACGGGUGAGUCAUGUGUGGGAAACUGCCUGAUGGAGGGGGAUAACUACUGGAAACGGUUGCUAAUACCGCAUAGCAUGAGAUGUGCCCAGAUGGGCUUAGCUUGUGGGUGGGGUUACGGCUCCCCAAGGCGACGAGUCCUAGCUGGUCUGAGAGGAUGACCAGCCACACUGGAACUGAGACACGGUCCAGACGCCUACGGGAGGCAGCAGUGGGGAAUAUUGCACAAUGGGCGCAAGCCUUACGCAGCCAUGCCGAGGGUAUGAAGACGGCCUUCGGGUUGUAAAGUACGUUCAGCGGGGAGGCGUUACCCGCAGAAGAAGCACCGGCUAACUCCGUGCCAGCAGCCGCGGUAAUAC
rnacentral:rRNA from 1 species